GGUUGACCUCGGAUCAGGUAGGGAUACCCGCUGAACUUAAGCAUAUCAAUAAGCGGAGGAAAAGAAACCAACAGGGAUUGCCUCAGUAACGGCGAGUGAAGCGGCAACAGCUCAAAUUUGAAAUCUGGCCGUUCGGCGGUCCGAGUUGUAAUUUGUAGAGGAUGCUUCGGGUGCGGCGCCGGUCUAAGUUCCUUGGAACAGGACGUCAUAGAGGGUGAGAAUCCCGUAUGUGACCGGCGACCUGGCCCGUGUGAAGCUCCUUCAACGAGUCGAGUUGUUUGGGAAUGCAGCUCUAAGCGGGUGGUAAAUUUCAUCUAAAGCUAAAUACCGGCCAGAGACCGAUAGCGCACAAGUAGAGUGAUCGAAAGAUGAAAAGCACUUUGGAAAGAGAGUUAAAAAGUACGUGAAAUUGUUGAAAGGGAAGCGCUUGCGACCAGACUUGCUCACGGGCGAUCAGCCGUCCUUCUGGGCGGUGCACUCGCCGGUGAUCAGGCCAGCAUCGGUUCAGGCGGCCGGAUAAAGGCCCCGGGAACGUGGCUCCCCUCGGGGAGUGUUAUAGCCCGGGGUGCAAUGCGGCCCGCCGGGACCGAGGACCGCGCUUCGGCUAGGAUGCUGGCGUAAUGGUCGUAAGCGACCCGUCUUGAAACACGGACCAAGGAGUCUAACAUCUGUGCGAGUGUUUGGGUGUCAAACCCAUGCGCGGAAUGAAAGUGAACGGAGGUGGGAACCCUUCAGGGUGCACCAUCGACCGAUCCUGAUGUCUUCGGAUGGAUUUGAGUAAGAGCAUAGCUGUUGGGACCCGAAAGAUGGUGAACUAUGCCUGAAUAGGGUGAAGCCAGAGGAAACUCUGGUGGAGGCUCGCAGCGGUUCUGACGUGCAAAUCGAUCGUCAAAUUUGGGUAUAGGGGCGAAAGACUAAUCGAACCAUCUAGUAGCUGGUUCCUGCC
rnacentral:rRNA from 1 species